ensembl:lncRNA
CCUAGGACAUCAGUUGAUGUUGACAUGCAGAAAAUAGUCAGUGGGGGAUGAAACUGCAUCCAGGGAUUUAACAUCUGAACUUGAGCCAAGAAAAUGCCAAAGAGUAAAGGUUACCCAAUGGACACGGGUUUGAGCAAACUCUGGAGAUAGUGGAGGACAGGGAAGCCUGGCGUGCUGCAGUCCACAAGGUCACAGCGUUGGACAUGACUUAACUGACAACAGGAAAAGGCUACCCAAAUUGGCAAUUCUUUAUAUUCAUCCACCUAGCUAUCCAUCUACAUAUCUCUCUAUACGUGCAUCCACCCACCCGUUCAUCCACCUACACAUCCAUCCAUCCAUCCAUCGAGCCAUCCAUCCACCUCUCAAUAAUUCUUCCUCCUGACUCUGUACUGGGUACUGUUUUAACCUCCCAGAUGUCUCUUGUUCCCAUGGAACUCACAGUCUGUAGACAGGAGCCAGAGUAAACAAACACUCAAAAUCAAUCAAUAAAGAAGAAAACAUCAGCGUCAGCUACUGAUAAGUGUUACCAAGAAAAUACACCACGAUGAUGGGAUAGAGAAUGGAGAAGUGGGAGAGAGGACCGCGUGAGAACAGAAGUGAACCCCAUAUGCACAGAGAAGACACCGCCACUUCCUCUCUGCCAAUCCCACUGCGUGUCCUAGGAAUCUUGCUUUUCCUCCGGGCUCACCAGUGGAACCCAGUGUGAUUUGAAGGAUUUGGACAUAUUCCUGUGAUUAUGGUGUUGCCUGCUGAUGGGGUCAUUUAAGAUGGUACCACCUGCACUUUUCUCUGUUAGUAACUCUCUUUGUAAGUGUCACUCUACGACUUCGUAACACUCUGACGAGGGAUCACAGCAUGUUUUAUGUCAUUGUCCCCAUUUUCCUGAGCAUUUGUUUCCAGUCUUUAUCAUUAUAAGUGUUGGAGAAGACUCUUGAGAGUCCCUUGGACUGCAAGGAGAUCCAACUGGUCCAUUCUGAAGGAGAUCAGCCCUGGGAUUUCUUUAGAGGGAAUGAUGCUAAAGCUGAAACUCCAGUACUUUGGCCACCUCAUGGGAAGAGUUGACUCAUUGGAAAAGACUCUGAUGCUGGGAGGGAUUGGGGGCAGGAGGAGAAGGGGACGACAGAGGAUGAGAUGGCUGGAUGGCAUCACCGACUCGAUGGACGUGAGUCUGAGUGAACUCCGGGAGUUGGUGAUGGACAGGGAGGCCUGGCGUGCUGUGAUUCAUGGGGUCGCAAAGAGUCGGACACGACUGAGCGACUGAUCUGAUCUGAUCUGAAUACUCCCAGCAACAUCUUUGUGCCUAGAUGAGUUUUGCUGGAUCUUAAAUUACUUACUUCUGGUCGACCGCUACAGGUGGAAUGGACAUCUUGGCGGCGGUUAUGUAUUUUUAAAGGAAAAGGUUUGGUCAGGGUUUGAACAAUGUGGUCACCCUGAGGUUCUGCUUUUUCUGACUGGUCUAGAAUCUCGAUCUCUGGAUUGCCCUCUCAGAGAGAACCAUCCUAGAGGAACUUGCCAUUCAGUUCACCACCUUUACACAAAUCACACUCUCUCCUCCUUCUAACCCUUCUAACAUCGAACCCUUGUAACUUACUUGCCGGCACACUGCACCAGAUCCACUGAGGACUGACUUCUGUUUCAGAACUUACAUACCAGCUCAACCGUUUAUCAUUUUGCCUGACCCUUCUGAGUUCAUCAACUUGCCUCUGAUAUAUGGCAAAACCUAACUUCUUUGCUUGAAGAAGCAUUCCAGGGGUGGAACCCUCAAAUCAGCUCACUCACCUCUGUGGUGCAGCCUUCAAGCUGGUGAGGAGAACUGUAAUAUUGCCCAGCUAAGGCCAAUGGAACGGACUUCCCAGGUGGCCCAGUGGGUAGGAAUCCUCCUUGCAGUGCAGGGGACUUGGGCUCAAUCCCUGGUCUGGGAAGAUCCCACAUGCCUUGGGGCCACUAAGACCAUGCCAGAACUAAGACAAGAUGCAACCAGAUACAUUUUUAAAAACUCAAAAAAGUAUUUUAUGACAUGUAAAAUCAGAUGGCCUCCAGGCUGUGCAGCUCAACUACUGUUCCUGCCUUCUAGACCAACCAGCCGCAGCCCACGUGCCACUGCUAGAGAGUCUGCUCACUGCAACAAAGACCCCAACACAGGCAAAUAAAGAAAACAGCUAAAUAUUAAAAAUAAUAAUAAUAAAGCCUCUGGGAGAUCCAGGGGGCAUAUUCCUCUGUUCCUGUCUGCUGCUGUUCAGUGGUUUUAUGUCCUGAAAACAUCUUCCUGAAUAUAACCAAGAGCCGAAUUAUCUCCUGGUCUCUUAUGUCCAAUCAGGUAACUGUAUACACGGGCUUCCCUGUGGCUCAGACAGUAAAGAAUCUGCCCGCAAUGCAGGACUCUUGGGUUCAAUCCUUGGGUCAAGAAGAUCCCCCUGGAGAAGGGAAUGGCAACCCACUCCAGUAUUCUCACCUGGAGAAUCCCAUGGACAGAGGAGCCUGGAGGAAUACAGUCCAUGGGGUCACAGAGUCAGACACGACUGAGCGACUACACACACACACGCUGUAUGUUCAGCCCCGCAAACGCAUCCACGUGCACACACGUGGAUGUCUUCUGACCGACUUCAGAAGAGCACGGGCUGACCCCAAUCCAGGAAUGGCUGGUAGCCACCCUCUCUGUUAGAGGGCUCAGCUGGCUCUUUGGCGCCAGCCUGUGGCGUGCCCUCUGUGGAGACAGGUCUUCAGUCUGGGAUCCUGGGGCCCGGUGGAUAUCAGAAGUGACUCACCUGCCCUCUCUUCUCAUUUUCGGAGACAGUUACCUCCUGUGUCAAGUGACAGUGGUGAAAUUCCCUACCUGCCUCCUUUUCAAAAUGAAUAAAAAUCUGAUGCAUCCAGAAAAAUCCAUUUGGAGCCGAUCUCCAUGCUUUUAUAAAUCGGGCGUCAUUUGCCUCACAGCGAUAGCAAACUUGCUUGACUGCCAGAAGGGGCCUUAGAGCUCGUCUUGAGAGCUGGUUCGAGAUUGUAGCUGGGGGUCACAGACAGCCACUUCUAAACUCUUGACUGAUGGGCCGCCCUUGGUCUGGGGACAGCAGCGUCUGCAACUGUCAGUACAGAUCUGGGAGAGAUGCACAGGCAGGGGAAGGAAGGCAGGCCGAGGUGGCCAUCGAGGUGGACUCAGGGCCCACAGAGACCGCCGAGGGAAAGCUGUGCCCGUUUCCUCCUCGAGUGGGAAGCGGGGCAGCGUGGAGGAAGACAGCCCCGUGCGUCAAGCCCUCUGCAGGGGACCGGGCAUGAGCGAUGAGCAACACUGAGAACCAUGAACGUCAGCUAGCUGGAUCUCCCGAUGAACUGCAGUGACCAAGAGGAAGAUGAGCACAGCAGAUAGCUCCCGCCCCAACCUGAAAAGCAUCCAUUUCACCCUGUGCUUUACCGGUGAGGACAAUGAACCUCAGGCCACCUGAUGGCUUAUCCAAGGCACAUUAGAACUUAAGCUCGGCCCUCUUGACCCACAGCUAGACGGUUACCCUGCCUGCCACUAAUUCAGGCCACCAUCUUGCCCUCUGGGCAAAGAAGCACCAGGAGCCUGCUGCUGCUACUGCUAAGUCGCUUCAGUCGUGUCCGACUCUGUGCGACCCCAUAGACGGCAGCCCACUAGGCUCCCCCGUCCCUGGGAUUCUCCAGGCAAGAACACUGGAGUAGGUUGCCAUUUCCUUCUCCAAUGCGUGAAAGUGAAAAGUGAAAGUGAAGUCGCUCAGUCAUGUCCGACUCUUAGCGACCCCAUGACUGCAGCCCACCAGGCUCCUCCAAGUGAGAUGAAUAACAAGCCCUGUCCCCAGCAUGGGGACAUGGCCCUGGGUCUCUAGACGAGGACAGCCAGGUUUCCUGGCAGCCCGAUCACCUGUUCGGAGUCCCAGACACUGCUUCCCACAUCUGUUCGCCAGCACCCAGUGGGUACAACCCUCAAAUGCAUGAUUCUCAGCAAACAACCUAGGUGAAAUUUAGACAGUACACCUUUAAGCCUUAAAAAUCUCCCCACUGGUACUUUCAUGAGUCUAUAGAUAGGAUAAACUGUCACAGAACUAUACACCAAACAUAAAACAGUGCAUGAGGAAAGGGAUGCUUUCUGAAUAAGGCAUUUAGAUCAGCUAGUAGCAUCUCACCAGAGCCAGUUUCCUGACUCUGCUGUCGUCCUGUGGUUAUUUAAGGUACGAUCAUUGCAUGGGGCUAUAUUUACUAUUUUUGCUAUGUUUCUGUGACUCUGACAUUAUUUCAGAAUAAAAAUAAAAAUAUGAGGCCCACGCUUUGCCUCAUUCUUCCAGAAAUUAUCCCAAGGAAAUAAAGAUGCCUACAGAAAGCUUCCCUGGGGAUCCAGUGGUCAGCAACCCACCUGCCGAUGCAGGGGACAUGGGUUCGAACCCUGCUCUGGGAAGAUUCCACAGGCUGUGGGGCAACUAAGCCUGAGAGCGGCAUCUACUGAGCCCACGGGCCACAACUCCUGAAGCCGGCGGCCCUGGAGCCUGGGCUCCGCAACAAGAGAAGCCACCGCAACGAGAGGCCCGCUCACCGCAACUGGAGAAUAACCCCCGCUCACCGCAACUAGACAAAGCCCACAGCCCACGAGCAGCAACGCAGACUCAGCACAGCCACAAGUAUAAAAUAAAUACAUCUUUUUAGAAAAAGAUACAGAGACAGCCCUAAUAGCGAUCAUAGGAGGUUUUAAAGGAAACUCUUCACUGACUGUGGGAGUACUAAGCAUAGAGCACCCAGUGGUAAGGACAGUGGUCACAGUGGGGACUGUGCCUUGCUUGGGUGGACCUAGCAAGGCUGUCUCUGCUGGACCGCAGGUGAGCUCUUUAAUGCGGUGCCCCCUGGGCUUUGCAGCUGUAAGAUGAAUGUGCUAUAAUAAAGUCUCCCUUGUCCGGGUGGAUGGACGUGCGGAACAGAGCCUGGCACGUUUUACGCUCUCAGUAAAUAUGAGCUAUUAUCCUGUUGAAGAAGAAUGCUAAUGAUACAAGAAAAUGUUGCUAUUAGUGAAAACUGGAGACUAUAAAACUACGUGGUAGUGAUGCUAUUUUUUUGAGACACAGAGAUGUAAUUGAGCGGUGGCUGGAAGGUCUUCCCACCACCAUACGAGUGUUUGUCUUUGGGUGCGGCUUCUUUGUUUUCCCUCUUUAAGCUCUUCUUUGAUGUCCACAAAUAAUUCAGUAGCACUAGCAUUUUAAGAUGUUAAAAGGACAAGGAAAGAGGACCCUUGGUUGAAACGAAUAGAUAGACCGGAUCUUACUGCCUUGCAGCUCCUCUAUUUCAGCUGCCUGGAAGCCCUGGACUCCCGCCUCUGAGAUGCCUUUAUUUCCCUAAGAAAGGAGAAGAGCAGUUGACCUCUGGGGCAGGGGGCGAAGGUGGGGGGUGCAGUGUGCAGGGUUAUUUGCAGUUGUUAAUGUCAGCGUGGGCUGUGAGCUCUGGGGUCCCCACAUGCACGCCAUCUGCUCACAAAACGUGCGCCGAGUUCCAGAGAGCACCUUGAGAUGGGCCCUGGCAGGACCGUCAGACCCCUGCCUCACUGAGAGCAUCCCAGACAGGCGUCUCCCAGGGCCAUGGCUCGCAGACGAGGCCGCGCUCCUUGCUGCUCCAGCAGGGAGCUCUCUGGGGCCCAAGCCCAUUUUCUUUGCUUUUUACGCUUUCCCCUUUCUUCCUGUGCUAGACGAAGCCUGCAGUGCCUGGGCUUCUCUUCCCAGGCCCAUUUGUUCUCAAGAAGGUCACUGAUGGGCACUUGUGGGCACUCAAACUGCCUAUUCAUUCUUGUCCAGCGUUCUGGCUCCUUCUCUCACCCUGUCAGUGACCCUCAGCAGCCUCUGGGGAAGGAACAAGGAGCUGCCGGACCCUGGGGAUGCAGAGGAAUUUAGGGGUCAGGCCCCAGCAGGGCUGCCAGGCUGGAACACAGAGGGCUUGUGUGAUGUCAAGAGGCUGCCCAACCCUAUUGGCAAGGAACACACUAUGGAAACCCCUUCUCCAUCCCGAAGAUCUCCAGGCUCUGCUGGUUCUCAUCCAAUGUGAGACUCGGAUUCAGGGUAUCAGUUGCUGGGGCCACCUGGCAGGGGGAGCACAGACUCAGAGCUGACCCCCUUGGGAGGACUCCAGAGCCCCACCACAUCCAGGCAGAAUGGAGAGAAGUCUCCCAAGAUGUCAUUUUGAAAGAUUAAAAGUCUCCCCAUUCUGGAUAAAGAAGAUGUGGUACAUAUAUACCAUGAAAUAUUACUCAGCCAUAAAAAAGAAUGAAAAAUGCCAUUUGCAGCUACAUGUGGACCUCGAGAUGAUCAUACUAAAGCUAAGUCAGUCAGAAAGAGAAGGACAAAGGCCAUAUGUGGAAUCUAAAACACGACACAAAUGAAACUAUCUAUGAAACAGAAGCAGACUCACACACAGAGAACAGACUUGUGGUUCCCGACAGGGUGGUGGGGAAGGGAUGGAGGGGGAGGCUGGGGUUAGCGGGUGCAAACAGCGUGGAUGAACAAGGUCCUACCGCACAGCACAGGGACCUGUGUUCAAUAUCCUGUGAUAAACCAUAAUGGAAAAGAACACGAAAGCGAGUAUGCGUGUGUUUAACCGAACCACUCUGCUGAACAGCAGAAAUUCACACAACAUUGCAAAUCAACUGUACUUAAAAAAAAAUCCCGUCCAUUCUAUGUUCUUACAAGCGUCCUUGCACCCCCCAGGCUGAGCAUCCACUUGUGGUCUUUCCCCAUCUGAAACUCACCAGUGGCGUUCCUGGGCAGGAGGAAUAAAAGCCAAAUGCUUACUAGGUCUUCUGGCUCCAACUUGCUCUUGAUCUGCCCUCUCCCUUCCUUGAUCAGCUCAAGUUCCCUUGCCCUCCUUUCUGCUCCACGAGGGUGCCAGGGUCCCUCCCCAGGCGAGGAGAUUGCACAUCCUGUUCCUAUAUCCCUUCAUCACACUCACAGCCCCAACCCCCCUACCCAACCCCACCGAACAGUGUGGGGUUUUUCGUGUGAUUCAGGCUCUCAGCUCAGAACAUCAUGAGGCCCCAUGAACGCCCCACACUUUCCCCACAGUCCUGAUUACAACGUAUGGUCGUUCUAUGUAUUUGCUCAUGUAACGCGUGCCUAGAAGGUGGGUUCCACAACACUGGAGCUUGUCAGUAGUGUCCACAAGCGACUCCCCAGGGCUAAGAGCCACACAGGGCAUGGAGCAGGUGGUCAGUAAGCCAUUAAUAGAUGAAUGAAAUGAUGGAAGAAAGAGGCUCUGACUCAAUGAUCAGCGGCUCUUGGUUGCAUGUGAAAACGUGCUUCCCUGGAGAAGACCCUGACUGUGCUGGCGUCUCGGGUGGGGCUGACGGACACUGGCCCCACUGCCCUGGCCUCUGGCUGAAAGCACGGGAGGACCAUAUCCCUGGGGGCUGUGAGACGUGCUCUCCCAGUCAUGGGGCACUGUCUCUUAUGGGCCUCCCACCCAGCCUGGGGCACCCUGGGGCCCAGGUGAGAGGAGCUGAGACUGGAAUUAGGGGGGGACAGCCUGGACAAAGCACAGAAUAUUAACCUGGGAGUGGGCUCACGUAGCCAGCUUCUGGAGAUGACGCCCCUGCAGGUUUGCCCCAAGGACGGUCGCACCACCUGCCCUGCCCCGCUGGGUGAGGCACUCCUAAUUUUCACUGUGUUUUCAUCUUCACCAGGGAGAAGAACUGGGGGAGGGCAUGUACUUUCUAAAUGACGCGUUGCUAUAGAAUUAUUCAUUUCUAACCUUUCAAAAGAGGCAGCAUUGUCCAAAAGAUGCCGAGAUGAUAACAGAGAGGGGCCGGGCAUCCUGCCCACCCCCACGCCCGCCCCCUCCCACCUCAUACACAAGCCACCGCCCAUAAACACCAAGGUCUGGCUAAGAACUCCCGAGAAGGACAGCAGAGGCCCAGGGAGACUUCUGGGUUGUCAGGGAUGCUGUGGUCCAGUCCUCCUCAGCCGGGCUUCUGGUUGGUGGGUGGGGAAGCAUGAAUGAAGGUGGCACCAUCCUAGCCUCAAGGGGCCCAUUGGGAGGGCCAGAUAGUACUGGCUUCUACAGAUGUGGCCCAAGGUACUCAGGAGGAUGGGUUUAAUUCCAGGGGCUGGGGAAGCAGACAUCAGGGAAGGAUGUUAGCAUGGACUUGAGAAAACAAAGAUGAUUUAACCAGAGGCACAUGUGAGAAGGGUGGUCCUGGCAGAAAACAACCAAACAGCAGACAGCAGGGAGAUAUAACCACUUGUGCAUUGUGGGAAAAUGACCAUGGUUCAUUGGGGAAACUAGACACAGUGCAUUGUGGGAACUACAGACAUGGUGCAUUGUGAGUACCAUAAGCCCUGUGAGGAUUGUGGGAACUACAGACACAGUGUAUUGUGGGCACUAUGAACACAGUGCAUUGUGGGAACCACCUGCAGAGCCCGAGAUUAGAGGGACCUGAGCUGAAAAGACAGUCAGAGGUUUAUUUAAUACAAUUGGAUUUUUCCUGACCCCACACCUUAUUCUUUUUUUUCCCCUUUUAUUAUUUGUCAUCAACUAAAAGCCUGCAUACAUUUGACUCAUCUAUCUUAUUUUUCUAUUGUCUGUUGUAUCACUAGAACAGAAACUCUAGGAGGGCAGGGAUUUGGUCAUUUUUAAACGGUAUCCCUAAUACUCCUUGACACACAGUAGUUGCUGGAUAAAGAGCCUGUAAGUAAACGAGUGCUGAUGGUCUUUCCUGGGCUAGCAUUGCCCAAGGAGCAUAGUACUCAGGCCUGAAAGUCUUACAUGUCAUAGGAACAAACACUCUUCCUUGUGUUACUUAUCUUUUAAAACUCACACUGGUAUGAUACCCAACUGGCCUUCAAUCUGUGCUUCAUGGGUAAUAUUGCUUAAAGGAAGACCAAGUUAGGAAAAAAAAAGUGAGCUCUUUUAAAGGAAAUUAUUAGUAUAACUGAAUGCAUGGUCCCAGUGGCAAACAGCACAGCCAAGGCUCACAAAUCAAAACUGACAUUCUUGAAAGGUGACUCAGGCAACAGUCCGGGGCACCAGGACAGGGAGAAGGGCGAAGAGGCUGUUCUAAGGGCCUGAGACAGAGGAGGUGGAGGCUGAGUGGAGGAGUGCAGGGGAGGGGCAGUGGAUGGAGAGCACUGGCAGGUCCUGACCAGGCGAGGAAGCUGAGAUGGGCAGAGUAAGGUACUGGGCCCCCACCUCUUUGUCUAGUUAAGGAUCAUUUAGCCCAGCACCUUCUGUUCAGUAAUAUUUAGAGAGGGAAUGAAUGAAGUGGAUGAAUGAAGAACUGCAAAGUCUCUACAUUCCCACAAUCCUUAGGGGCGUCUCUGGCCCUUUCCAGUGGCUAAGACUCCUUGCCCCUAGUGUAGGAGGCCCAGGUUCGGUCCCUGGGCAGGGAACAAGAUCCCCGGUGCAGCCAAAUAAAUAAUAAAUAAAAAUAAAUUACAAAAAAAGAAAAGAAGGGGGCGGCGGAGGGCCGGCCACAGAGGAGCCACUUCUGAGGGCCUGGGAGAGUGACAGGCUCACAAAAUGAAAAGGUUCUGCAGG